rnacentral:rRNA from 1 species
CUACGGAGGUGGUUAGCGUUGUUCGGAAUUACUGGGCGUAAAGCGUACGUAGGCGGACUGGAAAGUUGGGGGUGAAAUCCCGGGGCUCAACCCCGGAACUGCCUCCAAAACUUCCAAUCUAGAGAUCGAGAGAGGUGAGUGGAAUUCCAAGUGUAGAGGUGAAAUUCGUAGAUAUUUGGAGGAACACCAGUGGCGAAGGCGGCUCACUGGCUCGAUACUGACGCUGAGGUACGAAAGCGUGGGGAGCAAACAGGAUUAGAUACCCUAGUAGUCC